GAUGAACGCUGGCGGCGUGCCUAAUACAUGCAAGUCGAGCGAACAGAUGAGGAGCUUGCUCCUCUGACGUUAGCGGCGGACGGGUGAGUAACACGUGGAUAACCUACCUAUAAGACUGGGAUAACUUCGGGAAACCGGAGCUAAUACCGGAUAAUAUAUUGAACCGCAUGGUUCAAUAGUGAAAGACGGUUUUGCUGUCACUUAUAGAUGGAUCCGCGCCGCAUUAGCUAGUUGGUAAGGUAACGGCUUACCAAGGCCACGAUGCGUAGCCGACCUGAGAGGGUGAUCGGCCACACUGGAACUGAGACACGGUCCAGACUCCUACGGGAGGCAGCAGUAGGGAAUCUUCCGCAAUGGGCGAAAGCCUGACGGAGCAACGCCGCGUGAGUGAUGAAGGUCUUCGGAUCGUAAAACUCUGUUAUUGGGGAAGAACAAAUGUGUAAGUAACUAUGCACGUCUUGACGGUACCUAAUCAGAAAGCCACGGCUAACUACGUG
rnacentral:rRNA from 1 species